rnacentral:misc_RNA from 1 species
UUUCAAUAAUUUCAAAGGAGAAAUCCCCAAAGAACUUGUUAAUCUUCGGGAGCUCCGCUAUCUCCAUUUAAAUGAAAAUCGCCUUUCAGGGAGAAUUCCUCCUGAACUGGGCACCCUACCCAAUCUUCGUCACCUGGAUGUUGGUAACAAUCAUAUAGUAGGAACCAUAAGGGAACUGAUUCGCCUUGAGGGCUGUUUUCCAUCACUCCGCAACCUGUACAUCAACAAUAAUUAUUUUACGGGAGGAGUUCCAUCACAGCUUGCAAACCUGA